CGGAUUGGAGGCUGAAACCCGCCUCCAUGAAGUUGGAUUCGCUAGUAAUCGCGCAUCAGCCAUGGCGCGGUGAAUACGUUCCCGGGCCUUGUACACACCGCCCGUCAAGCCAUGGGAGCCGGGGGUGCCUGAAGUUCGUUACCGCAAGGAUCGACCUAGGGCAAAACUGGUGACUGGGGCUAAGUCGUAACAAGGUAUC
rnacentral:rRNA from 1 species